AAAUCAAUUUCUCAAUUUUUAUCAUUAUAGCUUUGUCAUGGACAACUACAGAUUGAAAUUUCAAAAUGAUAUGUGUGUGUGUUUGUGUUUCUUGAUCAGAUAUGCAGUGUAGGUGUUUCACCAAGGCCUUCUAAUAAAAGUUUGUAGGGGCAUUACUUUCAUUGAUACUCUAAGAAGGACAGGCAUGGAAAAGAGAAACUUACAUUUGCUUCGGUAGCAGGGUUCAUAUUCCCAGAGGUCAAGAAAGCCCAACCAAGGGGUUCUUACUUCCAUCUUUUAUCGAGAGCAGCAAAAACAACAGCCUUCUUUAUUUUCAGCUGUCUAUGGUCAGUCUACUAUGCAGCAGGUCACACCAACAAUUGGCGGAGCUCCAAACAAUCAGGAAAAAGCAGAAAAUGAACUAAAGAAACUACGUCAAAGCCUUGGUUUCAGGUAACUUAGUGUCUUGUUCUAAAACUAUAUCAUUCAUCUCUUAGUGAAAUUGGUUCUUGUUAGUAUACAAGAGACAUUAUUAUAAUUUCUAUCAGGGCAUGUACUACAAUGGUAAGAAAUACCAUUAUUAU